rnacentral:tRNA from 1 species
GGGCGGUUAGCUCAGGUGGCCAGAGCGCAUCCUUGACAUGGAUGAGGUCGCAGGUUCAAGUCCUGCACCGCCCACCA